rnacentral:lncRNA from 1 species
UGUAGAUCAAUUGAAAUCUAAUAGAUACUAUAUCUGUUGGUGGAUCCACUAAAGACCAAACUUGGUUAGAAUGCAUCGAGUCAAUUUUUGACUUUAUUUCAUUCAACCACUUCUCCGAAUUGAUGUCUAACAUCAACUUGUAGUAGUUUUGGGAUCAUCUUUAUAUUUUCUGUCUCUCAUGAGAAAUAUUUCUUCACAUCCUCUGUUAGAAUAUCAAAUAUC